CGAAAUACCCAAACGGAAAACUCGUGAGGAUUAAGCUUCAACAAGUUUCGUUAAAAUAGUUAUAGAAAAAGACGGGGUAUGCCUUUACACGGUACCGCAUCGCACGGAAACGAGGAGAAGAACGGUAAGAACCGUAGACGGAAGCGGAACUUAGCUCACCUUACAAGCCUUUGCAAGGUCGUCAGUUACAAAUUUUCUGUUGCUAAGUGCGAAUAAUGCUCACCUUCUGCUUCACUUUCAUAUCUGAAAGAGCUAUGCGCUUUCAAUUUGUUAAUAGAAUUAAUUUAAGUCGUACUCCGUUCCGUAAUAUUUGAUUAUACAUACCAAAUGAUUUUUGCGCUAUUUCCAGUCUAGACGGGAGAAGCUUACUGAGCAUCCUUUACUUUAGUGUAAGGACCAUAUAUCGGGAAACCAACUCUUCAACCUUUUAUCCGGGGUGCUCAAGGCAAACAAAUGAUAUAUGUGGGUAACGGAUUUGGUCAUAAAUUAUGCAAACGGCACAUGCUGCCUCGGAAGAUCACAGGACUAAAAAUUUACUUAUAAAGGAAGGUCAAGUAACGCGGUAUAUUUACAUUAAAAAAAUUUUUUUUCGCGGCUAUAUUGUGCCAGUUGUUUGCUUUCGAUUUCUCCUCUUUUCAUCCCCCAACAACAUCUUUCAAAAAAUUGUAAGUAAAAGGGGCGA